CCAGCACCCCGAGUGGUCGGGACGAUUAUUGGGCCUAAAGCAUCCGUAGCCGGUUUUACAAGUCCUCCGUUAAAUCCAACUGCUUAACAGAUGGGCCGCGGAGGAUACUAUAAGACUAGGAGGCAGGAGAGGCAAGCGGUACUCAGUGGGUAGGGGUAAAAUCCGUUGAUCCAUUGAAGACCACCAGUGGCGAAGGCGGCUUGCCAGAAUGCGCUCGACGGUGAGGGAUGAAAGCUGGGGGGAGCAAACCGGAUUAGAUACCCGGGUAGUCCCAGCUGUAAACGAUGCAGACUCGGUGAUGGACUAGCUCUAUGCUAGUCCAGUGCCGCAGGGAAGCCGGUUAAGUCUGCCGCCCGUGGGUAGGUACGGUCGCAAGACUG
rnacentral:rRNA from 1 species